UACAGAGGUGGCAAGCGUUGUUCGGAAUUACUGGGCGUAAAGGGCUCGUAGGCGGCCAACUAAGUCAUACGUGAAAUCCCUCAGCUUAACUGGGGAACUGCGUGUGAUACUGGAUGGCUUGGAUUUGGGAGAGGGAUGCGGAAUUCCAGGUGUAGCGGUGAAAUGCGUAGAUAUCUGGAGGAACACCGGUGGCGAAGGCGGCAUCCUGGACCAAUAUUGACGCUGAGGAGCGAAAGCGUGGGGAGCGAACAGG
rnacentral:rRNA from 1 species